GUCCUGAGAAACCCCCGAGCCCCCGAACGGCGCUGCCGCUGAGCGCGAGGGCUCCGCGCGGAACUCGUGAGCUGCGGGCCCGGCAGUAGCCGGACGGCAUUUCUGUGGCGGAGCUCCCUCCCGGAGGCAGCGCUGCCGUGGCGGGCGGGGCGCCGGAGCGAGGCUGCGAACCGCGGACGCUUUGUGCUCGCUCAGUUUUGUCCUGCCUUUGUUUUUUAGUGUUUUUUAUUUGUUUUUUUUUUCCCCUUGCAGUUCUGAGUUGGCUUUGUGCGCCUUUUCCCAGCGCGGGUGUUUGGGAGAAGGGCGCGGGGCAGCGCAGCCCUCCGUGCGGGGCUCGGCCGCCGGACACUCGGGAAAACCUCCACCUACCUCUGUUUACUGCAGCCGUGACGCUGCUGUCUCUCGACAUCCCUUUUUAAAGUGAAAAUUAUCACUGAGGGAUAACAGAAACAAUGGGAUGGAUUCCACUGAAGGAUGAAAGAGACAGGGAGGAAACCACGAACUCCACAAGAGUUAAAGGGAUUGUGCAUUUGAGGAGGGGAGAUCUCGGGUAUCAGGCGUUCCGGGAAGCCUGUACCUCUCAAGUGCCUCAGCCUAUGGAGAGAGACGGGGACAUGCGGCCGGGAAAUUAGGAUAAAAAGGCCGCGCCCUCCAAAAAUUUAAGUGACCCCAGGGGAAUGCCCCAUGGCCUCUCCUUUUAUUCGAAUAAAGUAAAAUAACUUCUCUGUCUCCAUUUUGGACAUAAACCUCUGUGGAUUAAUUUUCCUGACAGCAGCUUUACCGUUUUCCUGGAGGAAUUUGAAACUGUCCGUGUGCACCGUGGCACAGUUAUAAUACUGCGGGCUUUUACUAUAAUAAUUAAAAAUUUAUAUACCUGA